rnacentral:rRNA from 1 species
AAACUCAAAGGAAUUGACGGGGAGCACCACAACGGGUGGAGCUUGCGGUUUAAUUGGAUUCAACGCCGGAAAUCUUACCGGGACCGACAGCAAUAUGAAGGCCAGGCUGAAGACUUUGCCGGAUUAGCUGAGAGGUGGUGCAUGGCCGUCGUCAGUUCGUACUGUGAAGCAUCCUGUUAAGUCAGGCAACGAGCGAGACCCACGCCCACAGUUGCCAGCGUACUCUCUGGAGUGACGGGUACACUGUGGGACCGCCGCUGCUAAAGCGGAGGAAGGAAUGGGCAACGGUAGGUCAGUAUGCCCCGAAUAUCCCGGGCUACACGCGAGCUACAAUGGUUGGUACAAUGGGUAUCUACCCCGAAAGGGGACGGGAAUCUCCUAAAACCAAUCUUAGUUCGGAUUGAGGGCUGCAACUCGCCCUCAUGAAGCUGGAAUCCGUAGUAAUCGCGUUUCAACAGAACGCGGUGAAUACGUCCCUGCUCCUU